ACUUGUCUUCUUAAUUUUCCUAUUCACAACUGUAUAGAACUUGACAUUUCCUUUCAAUACUUCAUUGGAAACGAUACUACUUUCGGCAAAUACCGUUCUCCCCCUUUUUCUUUCGUUUUUUUCUUUCUAUUAUGUGGCCAUAAGAUAAUAUUGUCUUGAUAAGAUAUGUAAUUCCUAUAUCCGUAAAAGAAUAUCACGAUUACAACUACAACAGCAACAGUAAAAAAAAAUUAUACAAAUAGGAUCUGGGGAGGACAGAGUGCUCAGAUCUUACUCCUACCUGAAGAUAGAGAGCAGAAGCGGCACAAUAGUUUAGAGGCCUAAAGCCAAGACGUAAUAAGAUGCCUUAAACUUGUUUAAUAAUUUUAAAUAUUUUUGUUAAAGUUUACUCUUUUUAUUUUUCGAGAUGCAAUUUCAUCUUGACGAUGUAACGAAC
rnacentral:lncRNA from 1 species